CCUACGGGGGGCAGCAGUGAGGAAUAUUGGUCAAUGGACGAGAGUCUGAACCAGCCAAGUAGCGUGAAGGAUGACUGCCCUAUGGGUUGUAAACUUCUUUUAUAAAGGAAUAAAACGAGGCACGUGUGCCUUUCUGCAUGUACUUUAUGAAUAAGGAUCGGCUAACUCCGUGCCAGCAGCCGCGGUAAUACGGAGGAUCCGAGCGUUAUCCGGAUUUAUUGGGUUUAAGGGGAGCGUAGACGGGUUGUUAAGUCAGUGGUGAAAGGUUGCGGCUAAACCGUAAAAUUGCAAUUGAUACUGGCAGUCUUGAGUACAGUUGAGGUAGGCGGAAUGCGUGGUGUAGCGGUGAAAUGCUUAGAUAUCACGAAGAACCCCGAUUGCGAAGGCAGCUUACUAAACUAUGACUGACAUUGAUGCUCGAAAGUGUGGGUAUCAAACAGGAUUAGAUACCCUUGUAGUC
rnacentral:rRNA from 1 species